CUUUACUUUUCAAGACUCGCGCGACGCACCUGAACCAGAAUACCGCAUUGCCCUACACGUUUAAAACAACAUAAGGGUUGAGUGGACAUGCUGUGGGAGACAGGUAGCAAGUAGUAAGCCCAGAAGUAAACAGCCAUGUUGCCAGUUAUGAUGACAAACAUUGUCUUGCAGUAAGAAGGAAGAGAGCGGGCCGUGCCUGGAGGUGUCAAUGCCGAGAUGAAGGUUCAGUGAGGAGGAACAGUAGACAGGAAGUGGGGAUUUUGAAAAGCCACAGAGAAGCAUCAGUCUUGGAGCUGCACAAGCACAAUGACAGCUUGCAGGGAGAAAGUCCUCCAUUGAUCCAGACGGUGCAAUAUUCCCCACAGCCCAGUUCAGUCGCACCCAAAAAGAGAGAAAGAAUAUGGACGAGUAUCAAACAGGCUGCCGCAAGCAACAAUAAGCCCCAAAUUCCCUGCGGGAAGACUAUGAACUCUCGUUAUUGUUGUAUAUGUCAGCCUACACAUGCCUGCCGUUUGUUUCCGAUGGAGAGCAACAGGAAAGUGCCAGCAAAGAUCAGCAGCUAACGCUCAAAGGAAUGAGUGAAUGAACGCACUUCCCCAGGCUGGAAAACAGCAGUUGUCUCUGAAUCUGCACGACUGAACGCUAAACAGGUCAACGAAGUAACUGCAGUGAGUCCUGUCAGGUAAAAUGUGUUUAAAAAGACACAGCACUUUGCUUUGCCGGUCUUCUGGCAUCCAUCAUGGAACUACAGUAACUCAGUAACUACAGCAAUGAAGACUACAAUAAGACAGAUUGCUGAUCUUUAGCAGAGAUGACUGGAGUACAAGGCAGGAUUAUUUCCUUUUCUCCUGUGUUGUAAAUGUAAGUCUUUUGUGAAUUAUUUUUGCUGUCUCUCGUAGGCACUUAGUGAUUAAUGUGUGUUUAGUGAUCAGAACAGAAACCAUACUGUACAGAGGCUUUUCCAAGAUAGAUUGUUUACCACAUUUAAUGAAUUUAUGUAUGCAGGUGUGAUUUUAGUUUUCCUUGUUUUUAUGCAUAUGAUAUAGUUGGAAAGUUCAGUAAGGGUUUGUAAGAUACUUGAUACUUUUAAGGAUGUAUUUCAUCAAUCAAACGUGACCGUGAAGACAUUUAUAAUGACUAAUAAGCGUACACACAUUAUAAUAUUAUUUUUUAUUAGUGCUGUGGCUGCUGUGGCAUCCAAAAUCCCAAAGGUUUUAGUUUACUUAAUAUAAAAGUUGUCAUGCCCCUGGACUGUGGUUGUGUUGUGUUUUCAUUCCCCAUGUGCUCUCUGUGCAUGUGUGACCUAGCUUCUGUCUUGUGUUAAUCAGUUCAAAUGUUCAGGUGUGUCUCAUUCAAUUGAGUCAUUGUCUCCACUUUUAUAAGUUGAUUUCUGUUCAUUGUAAGUUGUCCGGUAUUGUUUGUCGAUGUUUCUAUGCGGUUGCUACCCUGCUUGUAAGCUUACCUCUCUGUGGAUUAUUAUCCGUGCGUUCC